UACGGAAGGCAGCAGGGGGAAUAUUGCACAAUGGGCGAAAGCCUGAUGCAGCUAUGCCGCGUGUAUGAAGAAGGCCUUAGGGUUGUAAAGUACUUUCAUCGGGGAGGAAAAACAAAACUAAUAAUUUUAUUUCUUGACGUUACCCGAAAAAGAAGCACCGGCUAACUCCGUGCCAGCAGCCGCGGUAAUACGGAGGGUGCUAGCGUUAAUCAGAAUUACUGGGCGUAAAGAGCACGUAGGUGGUUUUUUAAGUCAGAUGUGAAAUCCCUGGGCUUAACCUAGGAACUGCAUUUUGAAACUGAAAUACUAGAGUAUCGUAGAGGGAGGUAGAAUUCUAGGUGUAGCGGUGAAAUGCGUAGAUAUCUGGAGGAAUACCUGUGGCGAAAGCGGCCUCCUAAACGAAUACUGACACUGAGGUGCGAAAGCGUGGGGAGCAAACAGGGAUUAGAUACC
rnacentral:rRNA from 1 species